rnacentral:lncRNA from 1 species
AUUUUGGUUAAAGAGAAACGAAGAUGUACCUCUUUAAAUCGCUUCUGUUGCUUUUCUUUGUGUUUGAAAGUCAAUCGAAAUCGAUUCAAAACUCAACAAUGGACAAGCAAGAUGUUUUGUUUUUGAAGACCGAAGUUAAGACUCUCAAAGAAAGAUAGGAUAAUUUAACAGAGACUGUAGAAAAAGGUUAGUGGCAAGGUUUAAUAUUUUGUUUCAUGUUUGCAAUGAGCAAGGAUCAUGGAACUUUAUUUUGAGCAAGCUGAAUAUAUUUGCAACAGUUAUGAAACUGGAAUAUAACCUGCAUGAUAAAUAUUAUAUCGUCCUGGGUAUGAAUGUUAUAUGUGCCAAAGGACGUAAAUAAACAACAAUUAAUCAAGGCAAACAUGUGAUUGGGUGAUUGAUUGUUCGAUGUUUAACGCCACUUUUAACAUUUUUUGUUAUUUUCGUGGUAGUUCGUUUUUAUUGGCAGAGGAAGCCGUAUUCACCGUGUAGAACGCCACAUGCGGGGUGUCGGCUAUGUUUGACAUGGGUAGCAAUUUUGAAGCGACGAAAAAGUAACAAGGUAAGUUCAAGCAUCAAAAUUCUUAUUUUUAGAACUCUCAGUACAUAUAAUUAUUGCACGAAAGAACCGCACAUAAUCUAUUUCCUGAAAGCAGAAGCAUCGUUUUCGUGCUCAGUUUUCUCAAACACCUCGCCCUAGUUUUCCGUGUUGCAGAUUUUGAGCUUUAUAUUUAAAUUUCGUAAAAAAACUACUUUACACAGCUACCCUCCGUAUCAUUUAUAUAGAAUUGUAUUCCUCAUUGACUUAUACCAAAUACCAGUUUCUUAGUUUAAAAUUAAUUGGUUUUAAAACUUAUUCAUCAAAAUAUAAAGUGUCGCUCGGGUGUCAGAUUUUGCGUCGCAAGGGGUAGAGGCUUGUCAUAAAAAAAUACAUAUUUGCAUGUAAAUUAGUCUUCAUAUGAUACAUUUUAUUUCAAACAUAUCUACUUAACCAUGACAAAAUAAGGAUUUUUCAUUUGCCUGUUUUUGGUCUUAUAAAACAUGUGCUUUUGAUUUCCUUCAUAGUAAAAAAAUGGCUCAAAAUAUUUAGUUUUCAAGCUGUAAAACGAUUUUUUCCUUCAGUCUAUCAUGGUAAAAAAAGUCAAGGCUAUGGCUCAAUAAACCAAAACAUGGUAGAAAAUCACAAAAUAGUCCUCAAUAUAAGAUAUGCCCGAAGCCUCCACCAGCCAAAAAUCAUCAUAGUUCAUCACCAGGUUCAUCUAAAAAUCUGUCGCACGCCGCAAAAAAUCCAUCACUCCAAAAAGAAUAGAACCACUCUCUCCAUGAAACACUCACCGGCCUUUUUCAGCGAAUGACAACACAACUUCAAGUAAUCCUGAACGAUGAACUACAAUUGUCAAUGAGAAACAACACUGUACACAAAUAUACAACGGAACAGGUUACAAGAAAAAUGAUUCAAGACAGUUAUUUCGUUCGUAAUCGCCUAGCUAGAACUAUCCGUUUUGUGUUACUCAUCUAUUAUAUCAUAUCAUAUCAUACCAUAGUCAGAGUAGACCUUCAAAGUAGAUAUGAUAUGAUAGAUGUGUAACAAAAAAAAAUCAUAUCAUAUCUACUUUGAAGGUCUACUCUGACUAUGAUAUGAUAUGAUAUGAUAUGAUGCCCUUUUUUUACUAUGAAUCAAUGAAAUCAAAAGCACAUGUUUUAUAAGACCAAAAACAGGCAAAAUGAAAAACCCCUAUUUUGUCAUGGUAAAGUAGAUGUGAAAUGAAAUCAGCGUAUAUUUUAUAAGACCAAAAAUAGGCAAAAUGAAAAAUCCUUGUUUCGUCAUGGUAAAGUAGAUGUGUUUGAAAUAAAAUGUAUCAUAUGAAGACUAAUUUACAUGCAAAUAUGUAUUUUUUAUGACAAGCCUCUACCCCUUGCGACGCAAAAUCUGACACAUCGAGCGACACUUUAUAUUUUGAUGAAUAACAGUUUAAAACCAAUUAUUAACUAAAAACUGGUAUUUUAUAAGUCAAUGAGAGGAAUACAAUCUAUAUAAAUGUACGGAGGGUAGCUGUGUAAAGUAGUUUUUAUACCGAAAUUUGCAUAUUAAAGCCUCAAAAUCUGCAACACGGAAACUAGGGCGAGUGUUUGAGAAAACUGCACUGAAAACGACGCUCUGCUUUCAGGAAUAGAUUAUGUUUGCGAUUCCUUCCGUGCAAUACUUAUAUGGUACUGAGAGUUCUAAAAAUAAGAAAUUUUGAUGCUUGACCUUACCUUGUUACUUUUUCGUCGCUUCAAAAUUUCCACCCCAUGUCAAACAUAGCCGACACCCCGCAUGUGGCGUUCUACACGGUGGUAUUGGGAAUGAUAGAUGCAUAGUACGUACUAAAAUUUGGCGAUGUCCGUCAAAAUUCACACCAACGAAAUCAGGUAGUCCGGAAGGUUGAGUAGUUCCUGUUAUACUAGUGUCACGCAAUUUCCAUUAUCUAAGGGAUAUUUAAAAGGACUUUUAAUAUAGUUUUCCCUUUGAAUUAAUUAAUUUACGUUAAAUAAACUUGUACAAAAUACUCUAUUUAAGAAACCUUUUUCAUUCUUUUAUCAGGCAGAAAACAUGGAAUACCAACAGUCAUGUUUUUCGUUCGGCUAACUGCCGCCACCAUCCUUAACAAAAACUCGAUUGUAAAGUUUGACCAAGUGACCACAGAUACCGGAAAUAACUUCAUCCCUGGAGACGGAAUAUUUGUGGCGCCUGCAGUGUCUGGGAUCUAUUUAUUUUCGUGGACAACAUUGGCCUACACCGGCAAAAAUGUUGAGACCGAACUGAG